UACGUAGGUGGCAAGCGUUAUCCGGAUUUAUUGGGCGUAAAGAGAACGCAGGCGGUCUUUUAAGUCUGAUGUGAAAGCCUUCGGCUUAACCGGAGUAGUGCAUUGGAAACUGGGAGACUUGAGAGCAGAAGAGGAGAGUGGAACUCCAUGUGUAGCGGUGAAAUGCGUAGAUAUAUGGAAGAACACCAGUGGCGAAAGCGGCUCUCUGGUCUGUAACUGACGCUGAGGUUCGAAAGCGUGGGUAGCAAACAGG
rnacentral:rRNA from 1 species